UACGAAGGGGCUAGCGUUGUUCGGAUUUACUGGGCGUAAAGCGCACGUAGGCGGAUCUUUAAGUCAGGGGUGAAAUCCCAGAGCUCAACUCUGGAACUGCCUUUGAUACUGGGGAUCUCGAGUUCGGGAGAGGUGAGUGGAACUGCGAGUGUAGAGGUGAAAUUCGUAGAUAUUCGCAAGACACCAGUGGCGAAGGCGGCUCACUGGCCCGAUACUGACGCUGGAGGUGCGAAAGCGUGGGGAGCAAACAGG
rnacentral:rRNA from 1 species